GAUAAACGCUGGCGGCGCACAUAAGACAUGCAAGUUGAACGGACUUAAUCGAAAUAUUUAUAUUUUGAAGCGGUUAGUGGCGGACUGGUGAGUAACGCGUAAGGAACCUGCCUAUUAGAGGGGAAUAACAGUGAGAAAUCAUUGCUAAUACCGCAUAUGCCAUAGAUAUCACAUGAUAACAGUGGGAAAGGAGCAAUCCGCUAAUAGAUGGCCUUGCGUCUGAUUAGAUAGUUGGUGGGGUAACGGCCUACCAAGUCGACGAUCAGUAGCCGGACUGAGAGGGUGAACGGCCACAUUGGGACUGAGAUACGGCCCAGACUCCUACGGGAGGCAGCAGUCGGGAAUAUUGCGCAAUGGAGGAAACUCUGACGCAGUGACGCCGCGUAUAGGAAGAAGGUUUUCGGAUUGUAAACUAUUGUCGUUAGGGAAGAGAAAGGACAGUACCUAAGGAGGAAGCUCCGGCUAACUACGUG
rnacentral:rRNA from 1 species